UUAAAUUGAAGAGUUUGAUCAUGGCUCAGAUUGAACGCUGGCGGCAGGCUUAACACAUGCAAGUCGAACGGUAGCAGGAAGAGGCUUGCUUCUUUGCUGACGAGUGGCGGACGGGUGAGUAAUGCUUGGGAAUCUGGCUUAUGGAGGGGGAUAACUACGGGAAACUGUAGCUAAUACCGCGUAAUAUCUUCGGAUUAAAGGGUGGGACUUUCGGGCCACCUGCCAUAAGAUGAGCCCAAGUGGGAUUAGGUAGUUGGUGGGGUAAAGGCCUACCAAGCCGACGAUCUCUAGCUGGUC
rnacentral:rRNA from 1 species